CUCUGCGAGUAUUAUUCCGCACUCUACUCGCGCUUCUUCUGACGCGUAAUGCUCCACCGCGAUGCGCCCUUACAUUUAAGGGUGGAGGAAACGUCGAUACGCUCUUGUUUCUCUCUACUGGCUCUUUUCUGUAUAAAUUCUCCGUUUCUCUUCGCCUCCUCGACCUUUUGUCCCCUCUUUUGUCCUCGUCCCGCUCUGCCGAUUACAGCAGUCGAAGGAGGAAACGCGCGGCGCCGGUGUUGGUGCGCGUCGGAAGGGCGAGGUGUGUGCGAGUCGAGACGGCAUCGCUAAUGGAGGUGCGAUGUGGUGAGUAGUAACAGGAAUUGCGUACGUGUUUGAUAACACGGCCGGCGAUACUCGGCGGGCUUAGGGCUUACCGCGGGAUAAAUCAGAGGCGGCCGCAGCUCCGCGUUGGAAAUCGGCGGCGAAGGUAAAUUGGUCGGUUCGCGCCGACUAAUCUAGAACUAAAUUAAGCAAGAGGGACUGGGAUUUCUCCUCGCCGAGCGCUUCCCCCGCCGCGCCACCCCCUGGAGGAGGGCAAGCCGCGGCAUAUGGAAAGAAUUGACCCCCGCGUCUCGCCGGUAGCGACAAUUUCUCGGGGAACUUUCCGCCCUUACGUCUUCCAGCGUAUUCAAUUAGAGUCGGGCAAUAU
rnacentral:misc_RNA from 1 species